ensembl:lncRNA
UUAUCACUUAAUGAUGCAUUCAUUCCUCAUUUUAUGUUUUGUCCAGGUGUCCACAAUGUUGCCCACCUUCCUGUGAACCCUGACAGCCAUGUGUAUGAGGAUGUCACGGAGGCGGGAGUGUACCGGGACACAGUGGCUCCGGCCCUCCCUUUCCCUGACCACGAAUUGACUCAACAGCGGAGUGACUGGAGGUCAAUGACCUAUCGUCAGGGUUUCAGUCGAGUGGGGCCGUCUGUGGAUGUUCAGGCUCAGAAGGAUCUACCUUUUGAACUGCGAGGAGAAUUAGUCUAAAGAGAGAGGAUGGUCAUUAAAUUUAAUGUUGUAUAACAGAUAGACCUUUUUUUGCUUACAUCUUAGCACACUUUUGUACUAAAGAUAGACGAGGCAAAUACUGUUAGGUUUUAAAAAAAAGUACAUCUAAAAAAAAAGGAUGCAGCUAUGAAAGCUGAUUAUUUAUGUUAUCAUUGCCCAAAAACAAACAAUAUGUGAUGCUGUGUUCACACUGGGCUGACGACACACACUUGAACGUGGGUGUAGCCCAUGGCGUUCACACUGGACAAAAAGGAAGGAUAUUCUUCUAUUUUGUUGCUGCUAUGUACUAGCGCAUGUCCUCCACCUAUAGUUGGAAGAGAAUUUGGUGCGAUAUGUCAAAGUAGUGCAAAUCUUGCUUUAAGCUUUUUCUUUCACAGCUCUAUUCUGACAAACAAAAGACUUGGCGUUGCAUGAUUCUGUCUAGGCACAAACCGCGAUUAUUAAUUACUCUUUCAUGAUCACUUUUCAAAUGGUUAAGGACUCCCUGAUUGGUCAAAGUGCAACAUGAUUUAGCUUUCAAAGCACUUACAUAGUCGUAAAACAGUUGUAGAAACAUGCGUAACAACGCAUGAAUGUGAGAGUUUUGAUAACUGAAACCUGCAUACAUGCGCAUUCAUAGACUUUUUAGAAAGUGAUCACUUACUAAGCGUGGUGUGAAUGUAGUUCAGCUCUUGUGCUUUUUUUUGGGGUCCAGAUUACUCCACCCUUACGUGGCAGUGUUAUCUAACAAACGUUGACAACAGGAUUUCAUGUCUGCCAUGAACACCAGUGAAAAUCUAAAAUCCAGAUUAUUCCAACUCCCAACGUUAACGUGCCUACGAUAGCACAGGGGUUAGUAUGAAACACUUUCUGCUCCUGCUACUAAUAAACACCAACACUUCCUGACCACAUUUGAACUCUGGCACCAUGGUUCACUUAGUCAAAGUUAAGGCCCAGGGGCCGGAUCUGGCCCUCCAAGAUCAUUUUGGAGGGUAAAGCAUUGAAAUUAAUUUAAGGUUUAAAUUGAUUUAUUCUGGAAUAAUAUUCUUGCCUGUUUUUCCAUGGUAAUAUGAAGAAGUUAUCUUUUUAAAGUUUUAGUAAAUUUAGUAAAGUGUGUUUUGGAUUUUCGCCCCCUUGUGGUUGAGUUUGACACCCCUGAUUUACAGAAAACUGAGACCCCUCGUGUUCAGGGAGACCAGAGUUUUUCUGUGAGGUCUACAUCAGAGUUUGGACAGUCUCUCACACCUACCCAAAGAAAAUUGACUAUUUGAGGACACAGGCAAUCCAUUAUGAACAUAAACUAAUGAUCACAUAUAAUUAACUUGUUAAAGCUGUAGAAUCUGAAGUCAUAAAAAAUCCACUUCACCUUUUUUUCCUUUUUUGUUUUUUGAAUAAGCUCAUUGCUAAUAUUUCCUUUGAACACUUGAGAGUCUCCAGUAAUUAAGUUAUUAGCUACAAUGAUGAAGAGUAAUAUUUUUAGAAAGCAUGUAUUUUUAAAAACAGAAAGGAGCUUUUAUUGAGGGAUGCAGACCUUUGAUCUCGCAAUUUCUUUAUCUUUAUAUAAACUCAAUUUUUCUGUUAUUGUCUCUGUUAUACUUUUGCUGUUUCUUGGAGCCAGGUUAUGGUCACUACCCCCAGUAUAGUGUUUGCCUGCAGCUAGACGUGAAUCAGUUGAAUAGAGACAAAACCAGACUGACGUGUGCGUGGACGGCAGUGGAGCAGAAGCAACAUAGACGCGCCGCGCCACCCAAGCAACCAUCAUCCUCUUGACCCAUCUGACUUCAACAUUUUCCAGCAUGUACCCAGAUGAAAAGCUGAUGACAGGACCCCGCCCUGCACCCCCCUCCCCCCAACUGGUCAAUUGGAAUCUCUAAAAUGGAAUCAUAUUGAGUGGGGUUUAGCACAGUUGUGUGUUCAGGAGGAUAAGCCAAAUCUGCGUCCACUCUUUAAUCCUGUUUUCUCUCAGAGGGAAGUUCAGCUCACAACACCGGUGAGGGGGAGAAACCAUGCCGGGAAUUUGUCUCAGAGGGAGUGGGCAGACAGAGAGAGAUUGGGAACAGAAGAGGACGGCUAAGCUGCAGCAGUAGCCACCACUGCAAAAGCAGACCGUCCUUCUCUGCUCGUAGGAGAUACGUUUUACUGUUUUCUUUCUCUGCACAGAAAGUAAUAUUAUAAUGGUGAUAUUUAUUUAGAGAGGAUCAGAAAAUUCUGUAUCUAGUCUAUAAAGUGAGAAAUGUCAAAUGAAAACAAAAUAAAAAGGGGCACAAAAAACCAAGAAUGUUGUAGAAAUUGUUGUACAACUGAGUGGGGUCUCGUGAAUGUCAAUUAUUUCCCAAGUUUAACCUCUUAUGCUCUGUUCAAACUUAUCACCUUUUUCAACAAUUCUAGGUAUAAUUUCUUCAUUUUUUUAUAUUCUAUGAAAGUCAUUUCUCUUUUUCUUUUCUUCUGAAUUAUCUGUUGUUUGACUUGCUGUCACAGUUUUCAAAAAAUGGUCACAUAACUGAUUUGAAUUUGAUACAAUUUUAUGAAAAUAAUUAAGAUGAUUGUGUGGAAUAAUUACGGAAAAUGCAGAAAACGUAUUUUUAUUUUAAAGCAGUUUUUUUAAUUUCUUUAUUUUUGCUGCUGUGUACAUAUUUUAUCUAAUAAUGCAGUCUAAUCACAUUCAUUUAUCU